UUGUCCCGCCCCUCUUCCUCACCAGUUCCUGAUUCUCUUCUUUAUUUCUUGCAGACAGCGGGGACUAUCUCAGAGAAAUCAUCCCGGCUUUCUUCAUCCACCAUAAAAUGAACCUCAGGCGGCUGCGUCAGGUCGUGCACAAGCUCCCGUCCGAGGAUGGCAAGAGGCAAGGCGGAGCUUCAGGGCUCAGCCAGUCAGAGCUGCACGCGCGGAUCAACAGCUGGGUCGCCUCCGCCUCGGCCGGUCAGAUCCGGCAGCUUCCGGAGAUUCUGACCAAAACGGGAGCGAGCGGCGUCGGUGAGCGGCUACAGAACAAGCUGCA